GAGUAGCUGAGAGUGAUACGAAGAGUGGGGCAGAGCCUCACUUUGUCAAUUCGAGACUGGGCUACCAAAGCCAUGGCGAUGCUGAGGGCCCUGCUCCUCUUGACUGGGUUGGUGCUGCUGAGCGGUCAUUGCAGAGCAGGAUUCUACGGUCGAGAAUUCAUCACUGCUCUCAUGGAGAAUUAUGACCCAAAACACUCCCCUCCUUCAAGCUUCCAGCUGUUCAUCACCAGUGACCACGAGUCUACCAGAGUCAAUGUGAGAAUGAACAAAUCUCCAAACCGGAAAAGUUAUUCACUUACAAAGGGGGAAAUGUUGCCUGUGGAGAUCCCAGAGUCUGCAGAAGUGAGAGGCAGCAGCACA